rnacentral:tRNA from 1 species
CCUGGUGGCUCAGAGGGUCAAGAAUCUGCCUAAAAUGCAGAAGACCUGGGUUCAAUCCCUGCACCGGGA